rnacentral:rRNA from 1 species
UACAGAGGGUGCAAGCGUUAAUCGGAUUUACUGGGCGUAAAGGGCGCGUAGGCGGUUAUUUAAGUGAGAUGUGAAAUCCCUGGGCUUAACCUAGGACCUGCAUCUUAUACUGGAUGACUGGAGUACUGUAGAGGGUAGUGGAAUUUCCGGUGUAGCGGUGAAAUGCGUAGAGAUCGGAAGGAACACCAGUGGCGAAGGCGGCUACCUGGACAGAUACUGACGCUGAGGCGCGAGAGCGUGGGGAGCAAACAGG